UAGGGAAUCUUCGGCAAUGGACGAAAGUCUGACCGAGCAACGCCGCGUGAGUGAAGAAGGUUUUCGGAUCGUAAAACUCUGUUGUUAGAGAAGAACAAGGACGUUAGUAACUGAACGUCCCCUGACGGUAUCUAACCAGAAAGCCACGGCUAACUACGUGCCAGCAGCCGCGGUAAUACGUAGGUGGCAAGCGUUGUCCGGAUUUAUUGGGCGUAAAGCGAGCGCAGGCGGUUUCUUAAGUCUGAUGUGAAAGCCCCCGGCUCAACCGGGGAGGGUCAUUAGAAACUGGGAGACUUGAGUGCAGAAGAGGAGAGUGGAAUUCCAUGUGUAGCGGUGAAAUGCGUAGAUAUAUGGAGGAACACCAGUAGCGAAGGCGGCUCUCUGGUCUGUAACUGACGCUGAGGCUCGAAAGCGUGGGGAGCAAACAGG
rnacentral:rRNA from 1 species